UUUGGGUGAUUCUAAAAGAAUAUGAGAGUUUUCGAUUUGAAAUGCUUUGACUUUGUUUAUAGCAUCUGAUGAAGAUUUCUUGGGGCGACAAGGGAGUGCGGCGUUUUUGGAUUUGGAAGCAGUGAAGUAUUGGGUGGAUGGAGAUUGUUGAGGUUUGAGAGAGAAAGAAGCAGCUGAUGGAGAUUUCUUAGGGAUUUUGAAAAUGGGAUUAGAAUGGGUGUCAAUCUCUCAACUUAAUCAAUCUUUGCAAGCUCCAGAUUCGUGUUAUUCAAUCUCUCAACGUUAAUCAAUCUCUCAAGCUUCGUUCAACCUUCAAGCUCCAGGUUUAGUAUUCAAAUUCGUCUUCAAUCUGUCAAGUUUCGUU
rnacentral:lncRNA from 1 species